AAUAAGGAUGUAACGGCUCUAAUGGAAUAAAAAUAGUCUUUCAAAUGUAGAUAUAUAUAAAGUUUAAAGAGUUUGAGGUUGGCCUGCUGGGGGGUACAAAUUAAUGACUAGUCAGCGCCCGACAUCAUGCACCAUCUCCUUUUAACACCAAAUAGCUGUAGGUGGACAGCACUAUUACUGACCCCACCUGACGGAGCAGGCACGUGCACACACACUCACACACAGAGACAUGCACACACUCAUGGGCACACACAGAAAGGUAAGGCAGACAAGCCUAAUUAACCUAAGAAAAUCUAACCCCAGGUUGCUGCCAGAAAUGGACUUUGAGAAUGCAGCUCAGGGUGCGCGUAGG
rnacentral:lncRNA from 1 species